rnacentral:rRNA from 1 species
AUUGAACGCUGGCGGCAUGCUUUACACAUGCAAGUCGAACGGUAACAGGGUGCUUGCACCGCUGACGAGUGGCGAACGGGUGAGUAAUGCAUCGGAAUGUACCGUGUAAUGGGGGAUAGCUCGGCGAAAGCCGGAUUAAUACCGCAUACGCCCUGAGGGGGAAAGUGGGGGACCGAAAGGCCUCACGUUAUACGAGCAGCCGAUGUCUGAUUAGCUAGUUGGUGAGGUAAAGGCUCACCAAGGCGUCGAUCAGUAGCGGGUCUGAGAGGAUGAUCCGCCACACUGGGACUGAGACACGGCCCAGACUCCUACGGGAGGCAGCAGUGGGGAAUUUUGGACAAUGGGCGCAAGCCUGAUCCAGCCAUGCCGCGUGUCUGAAGAAGGCCUUCGGGUUGUAAAGGACUUUUGUCCGGGAGCAAAUCCUAGUGGUUAAUAACCGCUGGGUCUGAGGGUACCGGAAGAAUAAGCACCGGCUAACUACGUG